GACGGGAAGCCCGUGGUGGCGGCGGCGGGCACGGCCGGGCGCAGGCGGCUGCCAGUCGGCUGAGUGGGCGAGGCCGCGCGGCCCGGACGGCCCGAGCGGGAGGGAGCGCGCCGCCGGCCGGUGGCGGCUGUCUCCCGGCUCGGCCCAGGCCCGGCGGGCGCGGGCAGCGCCCCAAGCGUGUCUUCCCUGCUCCUUCCUCCCGCCUCUCGCGGCCCCUCCGCCCGCAGCGCCCGCCCUCGGCUCCGCCCGCCGCCGCCGCCGGCGCAGCCCCUCGCGGUAACGGUCGGUAGCGGCCCGCGCGCGCCGCCCGCCGGGGGCUCGCGCCAGCCACGAGGGAGCGUCCGCGGCCCGCGGCCCGCGCGGCGGAGGAGAGGUGAGCCCGCGUCCCCCGUGCCGGCGCAUCCGCGUCCCCGCGUGGCCCCGAUGGACGCCGCCGGGCGCCCCGUGGGCACGGCCCGUGGGCGUGCAGGGCGGGCCUCUCCUGCUGUCGCGGUCCCCGGGCGGGCGCGCGUGGGCGUGUCCCCUCCAUCCACGCGCGGCGGCUUCACCCUCUCGGCUCUCGUCCAGGAUGCUGGUUUCUGAAAUGGAGCCAUGGAGAUCUCAUCCUCCUUGUGGGAGAGACACACCACCACCCUAGGAAAGGCAACAGAUUGUUCCUGUCAUAUCGCUUUGCUGUUUUGGCGUGUACUUAAAGGAUUAUGAUUGAUAAGGCUGUCUUGCCAGAGAAUGUUGACACAGAACCUACAGUUCAUAAUGGAGCUACUGUACUGGCUGUGGAAGGAGGAGAUUCUGAAGAUAGGGAGAUUCAGCUAUCGGUCUUUGAAAUUUCCUGUGGUCUGUUCAUUCUAGAUGCAAAGGACAUGGAAAAAUCAAGUGCUCAAGUGGUUUAAAUAUGUUUGGAUGUUCCUAUUUAUAGACUACAGCAUUUUUCCAAUUAAAAUCCUCAGUUGUCAUGCAGAAGAAGGUUAUGUUUUUCUUGAUCACCACUUUUAUUUGAAAUGCUUAGUAUUGUAGAGUAUCACCAUUUUCUGUUUUAGUCAAAAGUAUAGAAAAAAUUAAAUCAAUUUUAUAUAUUGAAUUUUUUUCUAAAAUGUCUUUAUUGGAUUGAACGAAUGUUUAUACCUGAAAAAAAAGGGUUAAAAAAUGCCUUUCUCCAUCCUAGCAAUUCUUCUGGCAAUCUGAUAUUAUUAGAGUAGGUUUAAAAUCACCUUCUAACAUGACUCUGGUAUAUUCUUGGGAGAAAAAAGACUUGAAAGGCAUCUGUAUAUAUAUUUUAUUCUCCAUAUUAGUCUCCCUGGAAUAGAACAUUUUUUCCUGAGACAAAUCUAUUAGCUCAACUCAGAUACCAGAAAAAAUUGCCCUAACUGGCAGAGCAUUUGUUAUGUGUUUGAAUGUUUGAUUUACAUAAAGAAGGUUGACAUCCAUUUCUUUCACAGAGUUCUUACAUUUGGGUAGAAUAAUGACAGGUUGCCUUGCCAUUGGGAAAUUCCUUGUUGUGGCCUUUGUGGCAGCUGUAGGAACACGGAAGGACUCCUCUGUGGCAGGCAGGCCUCCGGCCUCUGUGGUGUGAACACUGAGAAAGGGGUCUGUCUGGCCGGAGAGAGCCCCUGGCGAGGGAGCUGGGCAGACUCACAGAUGCUGAUGACGCUUGUAGACGCUGCUGGGAGUUGCUGUUUUGUGAGUGACCCAGAUUGUACUUCAUCCACUUCUGUAGUUUUUACAAAGGGUCAAAGUGCUGUGAUGAAUUCUUAAGCUCAGAUCUCAAUGUGGCAAAAUAAAUUUAUUAGGCUAGAGUAUUUCUGUUUUUAUUUUUAAUUAAACUUUGUAUUUUGAGAGAAUUAUAGGUUUCACAUGCAGUUGUACUAAGGAAUGGAGAGGUCCCCCUGCACUUUACCCAGUUUCCCCCAACAGUAACAUCUUGCAAUAUCUAGUGUAAUAUUACAGCCUGGACGUUGACAUUGAUACAGUCCAGAUACAGAACAUUUCCAUCACCACAAGCACUCCUUGAAGUGCGUUUUUAAAUGCGUACUCCCUUCUCUCCUGCCCCCCCUCAUCCCCUCCCCACCUUAACCCUAGCAACUACUAGUCUGUGCUGCAUUUCUAUAAUUUGUCUCUUUAAGAAUGUUAUAUAAAUGAAAUCAUAUAGUUUGUAACCUUUUGGAAUUUUGCCUUUUCUCAGCAUAAUUUUCUGGAGAUUCGACUUGCCUGUAUGAAGAGUUUGUUCUUUCUCAGUGUUGGGUAGUAUUCCGUGGUCUGGUUGUCCCACGGUUCGUUUAACCGUUCACCAUUGGGGCUGUUGGGAGCUUCAGUGUUGUUUUUGGGUUUUGACUAUCAUGAAUAAAACUGCUGUAAACAUUCUUGUGCAGGUUUUUGUGUGAACGUAAGUUUUCAUUUCCCUGGGAUAAGUGCCCAGGAGUGCAGUUGUGGCUCAUCUGAUAAUUACAUAGAGAACUGCUUUUUGAAACUCACCUUGAUUCUGUGUGUGUGGAAGCGGAGACAAGGAGGACAUCCACAUUUUUGUGGCAUUUUUACUUUAACUGCAUUUGUUUAUGAUUUUAAAACAUACAGACUAUCUUAAAUAACGUGUAGCCAGAUAUCCAAAAACAUUUUCCACAACCUAGAUUCUGUUCUUAUUUUUGAGUAGUGCUUUUGAAAAAAAUUGCUUCUUUUUUGGGGUAAAAUGUUUGUGUAAUGGAAUAAAGGGAGACAUACACUAUAGAAAAGAUGUUGCAAAGCUGACAGGUUACUUGGAAAAACUGGGGGAUUUUCCAGGUGUUGACAGAGACCUGACAUUCCAGAAUGCCUUGUGAUAGUUUCUGAAUUGAGAGACUAGCGUUUGUCACUGUCCUCUCCCCCAUAGUUUUUGUGUGUAGAAUUAAGUCACUAUCUUUACAAUUUGUGUUCAGUAGAAUUGCAUUUAACGCUCAUUUAGUUCAACUCUAUACACUUAGUAGGAAAAAGAGGGAAAGAAGAAACGAAAAGUAUCUUUUCCUAGUAUGGCUCCUGAAAAUGCAACUACUUUACAGAUGCUUAAUGGGAGAAACGGCUUAGUUCCAAACCUGGAAAUUAUACUGUUAUGCUUACUGAGACUUAGUGAGGUAUGUACAAAACCAUCUGUGCUAUAUUUCUAGGGAGACCCACUGGAAAGAUUUUCAAGGGUAAUUUUUACUCUUAUUUUCUACCAUAUAUAUUGACUUUAGAACUCUCACUGAAGAUGCAGUUCCAUUUCUUUUUUAGAAACAUUGGAUAUCAUUAGCUAGUUAUGGUGAUCUUUCUAACAAAAGCCAAUAUUAUCAAUCUUUAGCUUUUUUGAGUGAGACACUAGGCUCUUUCAAUCUUUCAAUGCUUCUAAAUGUAAUUUCACCUUUAGCCCAUUGUGGUCAUGACCAUAGUGAUAUAAAUGACAUAAGAUAAUAAAAUAGUCCUUGCCCUUAAAAAUGACCUAAAUAAAAGAUAUGUGUACACUUGGAAUCUUUAAGUAUCAGUGGUCACUGGUCAUUAAGCAGCAAUGGAAGCACCCCAGGUUCCAGCAGUUCUAGGCGCUGGGAGCUAACAGUAAAGAAGAGCAACACAGCCCCUCUUCUCUUAGCCUGGUUUUCAUGGCUCUUUGCUUGCGGGGUGGGGAGAGGAGAAAAGUAAAAAGAAAAAGAGAGAGACCAACAUGAUUAUGUGUUAGUACAAAUCCAGAGCCUUCACGCUUCAGGAGAGAGACCAGGGAGCUGGGACCCUGGAGCAGGCCUCACAGAGAGCGGCAGGCUGGAAUUCUGCAGGAGCGCUGUGCGCCUGUGCGAUGUGGAGAGGGCGCCCAUGGGAAAGGGGAGAUGAGCUGCAGUGUGGUUGGUUGGAAGUGCAGUGGAAUCUGGUCUGGCUAGAAUUUCCUGGGGCAUCAAAGGGCUAUGUCACUGCCCCAAAGUAUAUUUAACAGCUUGCUAUGUUUUAGGAACUUGCCAGAAAUGCAGCAAGCUUUUUUUUGAGUAAUGUUUGAAUUUAAAUAUGUGGAUUUGAGUAAAAAAGCAAAUGGAUACUCUUCCGCCUAAAACUAGGGCUUGGAAAUAUAUUUCAGGUAAUGAAGCUCGAUCUGUUUGUAUGUGUCUAUGUAUAAGACAGAAUAUUAUUUUCCUCCUUUUAUGUUUGAUAAGGAAUAAGAUGUUUUAUACUUUUCUGGGGUCUUAAAUGCAUUAUCUAUAAGACCAUAAUACUUUUGAAAAUUUUUGUUUAUUUUAGGCGUAAAAUAACAAAAGAACUUAAAGUUCUUUUGGAAGAGCUCCAAAGUUAAAAUUGCAAGAUCUCAUAUAGAUAAAAAGUUUCCUAAAGAAUAGUACAUUUGUAAGAUUAUAUAGAGAGCUGAUGGCUUUGCUAAGAAACUAUUUUGAGCAACCUAAAAAAAUACAACUAUUUCUGUGCAUUUUUCUUAAAGUGUUCAAGGUAGUAAGAGAGAGAAGAGCCUUUUCUAAAUAUGCAUGCAAUUUUAGGGGCUGAAGUAGGAAGCUCUAAUAGACCGAGGUCCCUUUAACUUGAGACCUUGGAAAAAGGAAGAGAUGGAAGGGUCUAUUAGAGUUUCUUUGAAUUUAUAUGAAUCAUAGAUUUGACCAAAGUGGUUACAAAAGGCAUCAAAAGUAAGAUAAUCGGGAUUUUAAAUGUAAUAAUAUCGAUUCCAAUAUCCUCAACUCUAUGGCAUUGCCAAUGAGGAGGCCAAAAUGCAUUGUGUUUUGUGAAAGGUUGGUGACUUGAAAGUUCAGAGUGUAUGUAAUGACCAGGCAUUGUGGAAUCAUCUUGUAAUACUGUUUAGCAGUUAAAAAAAUAAAAGGAAAAGAAAACGGUGCAAUUUUGGACAGUUUUUUAAAAAAAAUUUUACAAAUCCUGCAAAUCAUAGGUUGGUUACCAGUAGACUUCCUGACUCGGCCAUGAUUGCUGUAUUCUCUGUGUAUUCCUUUAAAACACCAGGCACUUUAUAAUUUUGUCUAUAAUUGUUUAUGUAUAUUUUCUCCACAAAAUGUGUUUAGGGCAACUUAUUGCUGAAUUACCUUAACCCACUUGCCAUCUUUAAACUUCGUGUAUGAAUAAGUGUCAGCUGCAAGACGCGCUAGGACACUAUGUAAUUUUUUCCAGGAGCCUUCUUAUUCAAAAUACCUUUCAAACUCAGUGCAUAAAAAUAGCAUGCUACUUCCAGUUGCAGGCUUUUGAAGCUGGAGAAGACUUGUUUUUCACAUGAAGAAACUGAGUCUCAGGAAGAUGAAAUGACUUUCUGUUAAGUGAUAAUGAGGAUCUUUAGACUCCAAAGCAAAUGCUGCCAACUUGAAGAUGCUCGUCCCCAAUUCUGGAAAUUCAAUUUACAGAUGCUUCUAUCACAAUCCUAUUCUUAGUAAUGUUUUAUUCUAUAGACGUCAGAAAUAAAUGUCUACUUGCCAUCUGUACGUGUCAUACAAACAUUUUGGCUCCAAAUACAAGUACAAGUAACAAGUUAAUAUGGAUACAAGUAGCAAGUUAAAGUGUAUUGAUCUCAGAACUGAGUUUUAACCAAUAGAAUGUUUCGUUUAUUCAUUGCUAUUUCUGCAUACCUGCUGUGUUUUAGCAUUGUGAUAAAUCUGGGAAUUAAAUAUGAAUGCAGCAUG
ensembl:lncRNA